rnacentral:rRNA from 1 species
UACAGAGGUCUCAAGCGUUGUUCGGAUUCAUUGGGCGUAAAGGGUGCGUAGGCGGCGCGGUAAGUCGGGUGUGAAAUCUCGGGGCUUAACUCCGAAACUGCAUUCGAUACUGCCGUGCUUGAGGACUGGAGAGGAGACUGGAAUUUACGGUGUAGCGGUGAAAUGCGUAGAUAUCGUAAGGAAGACCAGUGGCGAAGGCGGGUCUCUGGACAGUUCCUGACGCUGAGGCGCGAAAGCCAGGGGAGCAAACGGG